rnacentral:lncRNA from 10 species
AGCUGAACUUUCAGGAAGAUAAGCAGCCCAGACUUGAGUUUCUAGAUGUAUACAACCAGGUGCAUGUCCAAGGCACAGAGGGUGGUAUUUAUAACCCAUAGUAACAUUAAAUGCAGUGUCUUAUUCUCCUGGUUGGGCAGGGCAACAGUUAUCUGUGGCUCCAGGCAUCCACACACUAUUGUUAGUGUAGAUUUCUGCAGAAGCAUCUAUCCAGGUGAGAGGUUGAAUAAGUGGAGGAAAAGGCACAUAAGCCCAAUAAGAAUAUUUAUGUGUAGCAGGUAAAUCAGUGUGAGAGGAAACUGGUGAGACAGAAAGUAUAAGGAGGAGAAUCAUUAAAUAAAACUUAUUGUAAGUGAGAUUCUGAAGAAGGAAGAGAAGAACAGUGUUAAGUAUCCUGGCAAAGGAGCAUUAGGGUUACAGAUAGAAUUGAAGUUGCUCGUCAGCUGAUUGAAGAUAAGGAGAUUGGCCUGGAUUAUCCAGGUAGGCUCAAUGUAAUCAGGAAGGGCCUUUAAAGUGAGAGAGGGAGGCAGAAGAGGAAGUCAGAGCGAUGUGCUGUGAAAUCUACUACCGUUUGCUGGUUUUGAAAAUGGAGAAAAAGAGUGAGGAACUGAGAAACAUGGAUGGCCUUGGGAACGUGGAAAAGGGUCACUGAAAUGGGACGACAUGAACUCAAGGAGGCUAUUUAUGACCAUGUCAUUUGCAACAUGAAGAAAGCUUAUCUGGAGUGAAAGUAAAUGAGACCAACAGAGAUGAGAGACCCGGAGAAAUCCUGGUUACACUGCUUGAAUCCUGUCAGUCCUAUACUGGAGUCCUGUUAAUACAAAAUAAUAGUAAUAAUCCCUCUGUUUCUUAUGUUUAUGCCAACUUCAACAAAAAGAAACUUGACUAAGAGACAAUAUAAGAAUUUAAUGUGUAAUUAAGAAAGAACUCUCCACCACGGGGAAUGUGAAAGGGUGGACCAAGUUUACAUUUCUCUGCAGUCAGAUUACCAUUGUACCAACAACUAUUCUAAGGUCCCAGUGAAAUAAUUUGGACAUUUCCAAAAGAGAUAAGAUGUGAAGACAUGUACAAUAAUAGCUGAUGCCUAAUAUAACCUCAUCUGUGUUUCUCAAACUAAAACACAUACUAACAAAAGGCCACAUGAGGACACAGUGAGAAGCUGGAAGUCUACAACCCAGAAGAGAGCCCUCAACAGAACCUAACCAUGCUGGUACCCUGAUCUCAGACAUCCAGCCUCCAGAAGAGUGAAAAAAUAUAAUUCUUAUUUCUAAGCAACCUGGUCUAUGGUAUUUCAUUAUGGCAGCCCAAGCUAAGACAGAUCCCUAUCCUAUUCACCAUGCUGCAGAGCCACAUGAGCCUCCCUUUUGUUCCUCAAGCUCAUCAAAUACCUCCUAGCCUUAGAACUUGCUAUUCCCUCUAACCAGAAUUCUCUUCCAGGUCUUUCCAUCCUGUAAGUCUUGUCCUUUAGAUCGAAAUUCACAUGUGACCUCCCCUGAGAAUGGUCCUCUGAAAACCUAUCUCAAAGAGUGUUCCCAGUUACUCUCUACCUUACCCCCAGGUUAUUAUCUUCCCACCACUUUUCCAUAUUUGUAAUCAUUUGCUUUUGUAUAUGUGUGAUAUGGUUAGGCUUAGUGUCCCUACCCAAAUCUCGUGUUAAAUUGUAAUCCCCAGGGAGAUUACAAUUUAGGGAGAGACCUGGUGGGAAGUGAUUGGAUUAUGGGGGUGGGUUCCCCCAUGCUGUUCUCGUGAUAGUGAGUGAAUUCUCAUAAGAUCUAAUGGUUUUGUAAAUGGUAGUUUUUCCUGUGCUGACUCAUUCUCUCUCCUGCUGCCUUGUGAAGAGGUGCCUUCUGUCAUGACUGUAAGUUUCCUGAAGCUUCCCCAACCAUGGGGAACUGUGAGUCAAUUAAAC